AUGGAAGAAAAAAAUGGAAGAAAAAGCGAGGGUGAAAACCUAAAACGAAAGAAGAAGAACAAAAAGCAUAAUCAAGUUUUCCAAUACGGAAACUACAAGAGUUACUACAACUACCGAAUUAGUGAAGGUGUUGAUGAAGAUCCUCGCUUGAAAGUUUUCAAGAAAGAGUGGUUUCAAGGGAAGGAUUGUCUUGAUAUUGGUUGCAACAGUGGGAUUAUCACCAUACAUAUUGCACUCAAAUUUAGCUGCCGGAGCAUUCUUGGAGUUGACAUUGAUUCUGAUCGAGUGUGUGAUGCAAAUUGGAAUUUGAGAAAAACUGCUAGAUUGAAAUCUGCCGGGAAUAAACCUUCCAAGGUCUCCAAACUCAACGACAACAGCCACACCGACCACUUAAAGAACAGUGUUACUCCGUCAUCACAUGUUGAAACGAAAGACAUUUCAAACGAGGCUUCUUCUUUGGAGCAAGUUGAUCUUUUCAAUAUUGUUUCUUUUCAAUGUGAAAAUUUUGUUCAGAGUCCGCACCCACCAGGAAAGCAAUAUGAUACUAUUCUUUGUCUGAGUGUAGCAAAAUGGAUUCAUCUAAAUUGGGGGGAUGAUGGCUUAAUCACAUUAUUUGCAGAGACUUGGAAGCUGCUCCGACCUGGUGGCUUUUUUGUGUUAGAACCUCAGCCAUGGAAGUCAUAUGAAAGCAAUCGUUAUGUCACAGAGAAUACUUCUGCCAACUUCCGUAAUAUUAAGAUUCGACCAGAAGAGUUUCAGGAAAUACUGCUAGAUAAG